rnacentral:rRNA from 1 species
UUCUCAAAGGCAUGCCUGUUUGAGUGUCAUAA